AACGAACGCUGGCGGCAUGCCUAACACAUGCAAGUCGAACGAGACCUUCGGGUCUAGUGGCGCACGGGUGCGUAACGCGUGGGAAUCUGCCCUUGGGUUCGGAAUAACAGCGAGAAAUUGCUGCUAAUACCGGAUGAUGACGUAAGUCCAAAGAUUUAUCGCCCAAGGAUGAGCCCGCGUAGGAUUAGCUAGUUGGUGAGGUAAAGGCUCACCAAGGCGACGAUCCUUAGCUGGUCAGAGAGGAUGAUCAGCCACACUGGGACUGAGACACGGCCCAGACUCCUACGGGAGGCAGCAGUGGGGAAUAUUGGACAAUGGGCGGAAGCCUGAUCCAGCAAUGCCGCGUGAGUGAUGAAGGCCUUAGGGUUGUAAAGCUCUUUUACCCGGGAUGAUAAUGACAGUACCGGAGAAUAAGCCCCGGCUAACUCCGUGCCAGCAGCCGCGGUAAU
rnacentral:rRNA from 1 species